rnacentral:lncRNA from 1 species
UCUGAAAUACUGGAAAAAAAAAGAAGCUAGUACAUUCCUUUGUUAUGGGAAUGGCAAGGUAAUAUUAGAAGGUUCUGUUGAUAUUGAUCUUAAUGGAGAUGUGGAUACCAGCAAAAGCACAUCUAGGUAUGUCUAUACUAUAGAUGGGACAGCAGUGAGCUGGAUGUCUAAACUUUAAAAGUGUGUUUGUAUGUCAUUUACAGAGACUGAAUAUGUUGCAAUUUGCUGAAGUUGGUAAGGAGAUGAUAUGAUUGACUAAUUACUUGGAAGAGUUGAGCAAGAAAGAGCUUGACAAUGUUCUUUUACACUGAUAGUCAGAAAGCCACAUAGUUGGUGAAGAAUCCAGUAUAUCACUUUAGAAGAAAAUAUAUCUUACAUAGGUACCAUUUCACUCGCAGACUGGUAGAAGAAGAUGAGAUGUGUUUGAAGAAAAUUAAAAGUACUAAAAAUCCAGCAAAUAUAUUGACUAAAGGUAUUGAUGCUAGGAAGCUGGAGCUGUGCAAAGUCUCAGUUGACCUUCUACAGUAGUAUGGAAGAUAUUUGCGGUUAAGUGUUUUUGUUGAAUACAAUGGCAUGAAAAAUAAAAAUGGUUUGAUUGACUGAAUUAGUUUCCAAAUGAGAGAAUUGUUAUAUAUAGAGUCUAAUAAUAUAUGAUAGACUGUACACUAUAUAUAGGGGUGAGCAUUCGGUCGGUUCGGUUCAAAAUCGAACCGAACCAAAAAAACCAAAAACCGAAUUGUAGGAUUUUAUAAAAAUCGAACCGAACCGAAUAAGAGGAAUAACCGAAUCGAACCGAACCGAUUUGGUUCGGUUCGGUCGGUUCGAUCGGUUGAACCGAUUUUCAAAUUUUUUUUUUUAAAUUCAUUCUAAAAUUCUAUUAAAAUAUUUUAAUUUUAACUUUUACAAAUAAAAAAUCAAUAAUAAUCAUAAAACAAUAUAAAAAUUAAAAUUUCACCCGGACAAUUUAUCAUCAAUUAAUACAAAUGCAAAUAUAUUCAUGCGAACCCCAGCUGAAAUGCCCCAAUACUCAAUUCAAAAAGCAGUGUGUCAUCGGAUUCGGAUGUACAGAUUGGGAAGAUAAAAUCUGAACGCAAGAAUACAAAAUAGAGCAAUAACAGUAAAAUAAUACUAACCAUAAAAUAGCAAAUUGAAACCAAGUAUGCAAUGACAACACCAGUAAGCAACAAAAUUUGUACUGCUACUCUCUAUUUCCACAGCAGGAAGAUUAAACAACCAAGCACAAAGAUGAACAGCCAACAAUUUUCUGAAUAGUGUAAAAAAAAUUUACUUACCUUUUACAGUUGCUGAUGAGGACCGAGGAGGCGAGGACUGAGAACUGAGAAAGACUGAGGACUGAGGAAGACAGAGGAUUGAGGACAACCAAGUUACUGACAGCGUUGAGAGCCGAUGGACUGGAGAGCGACGGCCGAAGAUUGCGUGGAGAGCGACGACCGACGAUUGUGUGGAGACUGGAGAGAGAGAAUAGAGAGCUACAGUGGAGAGCGACGACAGUCGGCGACUCAGCGUUGCAAGUGAAGAUCGAUGACCCGAGUUAGCCGCGAUGGUUAAUCGGUCGAUGUCGGGAGGAGAGUGAAGGUUGGACGGUGGACGGUGGACCCGCUGGAAGUGGUGGAGCUCCUCAGUGCUCAGAGAAGAGGCACAGGUGUGACGGGAGGGGUGAGGCGGCGUGGAAUCUGCGUCUCUACUCUCAAUGGCACAUCUUUUAGAUUUAGGGCAAAUGCUUAUAAGGGUAUAUUUCAAAACGACGUAGUAUAGGUGAUUUCGGUUCGGUUCGGUUUAAUCGAAAUUUUUGAAUCUAAAAUCGAACUGAACCGAAAUAACCGAAAUUUCUAAAAUUAAAAACCGAACCGAAAUAUAUAAAAAACCGAACCAAAAUUUCAAAUCGGUUCGGUUCGAUCGGUUUUUUCGGUUUAAACCGAAUUAUGCUCAGCCCUA